GUUUUGGCAUUAUGCUUGGAGUAUGGGCAAUGGUACGGCAGAGAUGCGGCACCCAGGAACGCCUUGAACUCGACAGACUAUUUCGAAACUUCGAAGGUGGCAGAAGGGCAAGAUGCUGCUGUUGUGCUCGCUGUCGUGCUGGAUCAUCUUCACGCUGCCCCUGGGCUUCAUCCAGCCGCCAGUCACCUCCUGCCUCAAGCAGAAGAACGUCACCGAGUGGGUGCUGACGGUCCCGGAGAGCCCGCGCAUGCUCAAGCGGGAGGCGCCGCUGUCCCUGUUCCUGCUGGAGGAGGCGGACGAGGAGGCCUUCAUGGCAAACCCGCACCUUGGCGAGAGCCGCUCCGCACGGGUGGCGCGCGCCGCCAUGCCGUACUUCACGGCCGGCACCUCUCCGCACGACGUCGCCUUCGCCUCCAACUACAACGCCAAGACCAACAAGAACUGGGUCACGCCGCGGUUCAGCUCCAUCGUCUACAAGAUACCGGACAUCCAGAAAGCCUUCUUCUUGCUCAUGCUGCUGGUGGUUAUCGGGGAGUUCUUCGCCGCCCCGGCCAUCACCCUGGCGGACUCGGCCGUCAUCACCAUCCUGGGUGACGACGCGGACCACUACGGCCACCAGCGCAUGUUUGGAUCUCUGGGCUGGGGUCUGGCCAUGUUCUUUGUCGGCAUCGCGCUCGACCACUCCACCGCCUUCCCGGACCACCCUUGCGGCCCCCAGGAUAGAGAGAAAAACUACACCAUCUGCUUCGCCACCUUCUCGGUGCUGAUGGGCGCGGCGCUGAUCGUGGCCACACAGAUCAACUUCAAGUACGACCCUCCCAGCGAGCAGCCCGUGCAGGAGGCCGCCAAGGCCCCCCAGGAGCCCACCCGCGAGGAGUACCUGCAGCAGCAGCUCGCCCAGCAGCUCAACCUACCCUCGCUGGCGGACACCUCGGCGGGCGGGCAGGCGCGCCAGGAGCCCAACGUCGGGAAGACCAAGGUGUUCGCUCAAACGAAUCGGGAGAUCCCCGAGUGGGUGACGGUGCUCUCGCACUUCAAGAACAUCAAGUGCGCCUCCUUCCUGUUCGUGGCCUGGUUCAUGGGCUUUGGCAUCGGGCUCAUCUUCACCUUCCUCUUCUGGCACCUCCAGGACUACGGCGGCUCGCCGACACUCUUCGGGGUGGCGUCCGUCAUCAACCAUAUCUCGGAGAUUUUCGCCUACUUCUUCAGCUUCCGGCUCAUCAAACAGAUGGGACAUGUUAAGGUGCUGUGUCUCGGCCUGGUCGGCAACAUCCUGCGCUUCCUGUACAUCUCCUGGCUGAGAAACCCCUGGUGGGUGCUUCCCUUCGAGUUCAUGCAAGGCAUCACCCACGCCGCCGUGUGGGCCGCGUGCUGCUCCUACAUCGCGCACAACACGCCCCCGGACAUGAGGUCCUCCUCGCAGGGCGUGCUGCAAGGCAUCCACCACGGCCUGGGCCGCGGCUGCGGCGCCGUCCUGGGCGGCAUGCUCGUCACAUCAAUCGGAACGACGGCCACCUUCCGCGGCUACGGCGUGUGCUGCGCAUUCGUGCUGGCCGGGUUCGUCUUCAUCAAUUUCUACCGCAAGGACCAAGGGUUUGUGUUGGACCUGCCCCAGACAGAGGACCCCCACCAAGUGUCAGAGGAGACCGCCCACUUGGCUCCCCACGGCGUACCCAGCAACCCGAUUCCCAGGGCGCUGUCUUCUUCGAGACUACAUGAGUUGGCUGCCCAGAACAACGACGGCUAUGGAGCUACCUAUCAGACAUCAGCUGGUGGCAACCUGGACAUUCCUGGUGCAGGAGGUGCUCCCACAAAUCCAUUCCGUACUGACAACAACAAUCAACAAGGAUUCGGUUACAGUAAUGGGGGUGGUGCAUACAACUACGGACAGCAGUGAACUAUAAGCGUGGAUAGCGGUUCGAAGUGAGUUCCAAGAUGUAAAAACUUCUGUUUGGGAUAUGAUCAGCAGCAGCAGCAGGGACCGCUUGGCUCAACAGAAGUUUAUGCCCAACAACCUGCCCAACAACAACAAGGGUACAACUGGUAAACAGAAGGGAAUCGUAUAACUGCCAUAUCAUUUGGAGCUGAAAAUAUUUUUGAUUGAUAUUAGUUGAUAUUAAAAAAAUCCUGUAUAACUUCUCAAACAGAUACCUUCAUUUUGCUUCGAGUCACUCAUUUUUUAGAAUGGUUUUAAUUUCCUGAAAUUGAAAUGAUGAUGCAAGUUCUGCUGGCUCAAAAUUAGUUUCUGAUACAAUCAUCUACUGGCACAAGAGUCUUAUGAGUCAGUAUGUAUAGAUGAUUGCACCUCAGCUAGUAUUAAUAGGACAGUAUAAGUGAGCCUCUGUUCUCAAUAUCUCAAAGUAUAAAGGCUGGGUUGAUUGGAGAAACGAAAAAUGGAUGAUGACGCACAGGCUCAAGACUCAAGUUUUGUAUUAUAUGCUCCAUUUUACAGAAUACUUUUCAUUGUUAUUCUUAACAGCUUGAUUAAUUUCCGGGAGAUUUUCCUCCACCUUGUUAAAUCUUCUCUCAUCAUGUUGACUGUGACAAAAUAUUCAAACCUUGAAAUAAAAGUGAGGAAUUCUGACCACCAUGUGGUUGUGACAGUCAAUAUUUUUAAGUAUUGAAUGCUUGAGCUGAUAAGGUCUUAACUGUUCCAAAACAUAAAAUUUCAUUUUACAUUAUCAAUGAGAUGAGUAAUGUUCAACAAUAAUAACUCUUAUUUUAACUUUGACUGAAACUCAUUAUUAUUUAUGAGGUUUGUAUUUAUGUCAGUGAUGACAUUACUUAAUUUCAUGAUUGUGGAAUGUUUUGGUGAUCUGUAAAACCUUUACAACUUUUAGGACUCCUCAUAACACAAUCAAAAGAAUUGUGCAUAAGUUCUCUUUCUCUUGCUGGAUUGAUGUAAAAAUAUAACAGAUGUAUGAAAUAAAUUGGUUAAGUUUUGUAACCAAUAUAUUAUGUGCCAUUUCUGGUAUAUGUGGACUUCCUUAUUUUGAUCAUUGAUGUCUCGUAUUUUAAUCACAAGGCUUCAACACCUUAUUGUUUGAUUGUUAAAUUUCUGUGUAAAUACAAUAUAGGAGUGUGUGAUCAUGUAGACUUUAAUUUGGUGGUAAAAGUGGAUAGUGCACCUCUUCUGCAGUUGUUAAUGAUGUACACGAAUUAUGAAUAAUGACACCUAACUGCUCUGUAAUAGCUCAUCGGAUACUUGUCUUGAUUUCAGAAACAAGACACCACUCCGACCUAGACCAGAUCACUCGUGUAACAUAACUCCCUUUCCUAUUUCGUUACCAUUUUUCUGUUGUAUAGGUGUGAGUUAUAAAUCUUAUAUUUUGAAAUUAUUUUAUCUGUGCGCCUACAGUGAUAAGGUGCAGAUAAUGUUGAGGGCUGUUUAUAUACUAACUCUCUUAUGUGUAAAAUUGCCAUUGCCUUGCAUUCGCAGUCUUUAUAAAAGACUUGUAAAUACAUGCUGAUAAAAUAUAGUUGUUUGUGAGCAAGUGUAGUAGGUAUUUACUGAUCUAUUCGGAUUAACUUAUGAACUUCUUCAAAUGUACUAAAAAGGACCAUCAUGAUCAGCAUGAAAAUAUGCUUGAUUUUGAUGUGGUAGGAAUGAAUUUUUAAUAUAAGAGAACAGAAACCCUAAUUUGACAUUAAAUCAAUCUUCUAAGAAACCAAUUUUAAAUAUUGGCAAUAGAAUAGAAGAAAAGAUGCGGUGUUGUGUAAAUAAGAACCAUAAGCUCUGAAACUUAUGUAAGGGUAAUAUAUUUCUUAAAUUGUGACUGAAAGUCACACUGAUAGUUGUAAAUUUCCCAAACAUUUGAUUCACAUGUAAAAGCUUUUUUCAGUGGUAUAAUCAGAGUUAUUAACACUUUCAAAAAAGAAACAACAUGUCGUCAAAUCCAUGUUCAACUUUUUGUUCCAAAGGUUUAUCAGGUUUCGUUUUAACCACUGUUCAUAAAAGUGAUAUGGAACUUUGUCAAACCUUUAAGACAGGAUCCAGAUCAAAAUUCUAGACCUUCAACAACGAGCCUCCAACUGAAACAAGUAGAAUCGCCUUGGAGUGUUCAUCUUCAUGAUACAUAUCAUCACAAAAUGUCAUUAUUUUUGUUAAGCAUUGAUAUUAUAAAUGUUAUUUGAUAUGUAACAGUUGGAAAUGAUUGAUUUGCUGUAAUGUCUUAAUUGUUUGAAUAUUUUGAAAUGGUUUGAUAUCUCAACGUUAAGUUUUUUGAGUGGUUUAUCAAGAGUUUAGUUUGUAAAACAUUGCUAGCUGUAGACAGCAUACUGGAAUAAAAGUUAAUUCGACACGGAAACACAUCAAA